rnacentral:rRNA from 1 species
AAAUUGAAGAGUUUGAUCAUGGCUCAGAUUGAACGCUGGCGGCAGGCCUAACACAUGCAAGUCGAACGGUAACAGGAAGCAGCUUGCUGCUUUGCUGACGAGUGGCGGACGGGUGAGUAAUGUCUGGGAAACUGCCUGAUGGAGGGGGAUAACUACUGGAAACGGUAGCUAAUACCGCAUAACGUCGCAAGACCAAAGAGGGGGACCUUCGGGCCUCUUGCCAUCGGAUGUGCCCAGAUGGGAUUAGCUUGUUGGUGGGGUAACGGCUCACCAAGGCGACGAUCCCUAGCUGGUCUGAGAGGAUGACCAGCCACACUGGAACUGAGACACGGUCCAGACUCCUACGGGAGGCAGCAGUGGGGAAUAUUGCACAAUGGGCGCAAGCCUGAUGCAGCCAUGCCGCGUGUAUGAAGAAGGCCUUCGGGUUGUAAAGUACUUUCAGCGGGGAGGAAGGGAGUAAAGUUAAUACCUUUACUUAUUGACGUUACCCGCAGAAGAAGCACCGGCUAACUCCGUGCCAGCAGCCGCGGUAAUACGGAGGGUGCAAGCGUUAAUCGGAAUUACUGGGCGUAAAGCGCACGCAGGCGGUUUGUAAGUCAGAUGUGAAAUCCCCGGGCUCAACCGGGAACUGCAUCUGAUACUGGCAAGCUUGAGUCUCGUAGAGGGGGGGUAGAAUUCGGGUGUAGCGGUGAAAUGCGUAGAGAUCUGGAGGAAUACCGGUGGCGAAGGCGGCCCCCUGGACGAAGACUGACGCUCAGGUGCGAAAGCGUGGGGAGCAAACAGGAUUAGAUACCCUGGUAGUCCACGCCGUAAACGAUGUCGACUUGGAGGUUGUGCCCUUGAGGCGUGGCUUCCGGAGCUAACGCGUUAAGUCGACCGCCUGGGGAGUACGGCCGCAAGGUUAAAACUCAAAUGAAUUGACGGGGGCCCGCACAAGCGGUGGAGCAUGUGGUUUAAUUCGAUGCAACGCGAAGAACCUUACCUGGUCUUGACAUCCACGGAAGUUUUCAGAGAUGAGAAUGUGCCUUCGGGAACCGUGAGACAGGUGCUGCAUGGCUGUCGUCAGCUCGUGUUGUGAAAUGUUGGGUUAAGUCCCGCAACGAGCGCAACCCUUAUCCUUUGUUGCCAGCGGUCCGGCCGGGAACUCAAAGGAGACUGCCAGUGAUAAACUGGAGGAAGGUGGGGAUGACGUCAAGUCAUCAUGGCCCUUACGACCAGGGCUACACACGUGCUACAAUGGCGCAUACAAAGAGAAGCGACCUCGCGAGAGCAAGCGGACCUCAUAAAGUGCGUCGUAGUCCGGAUUGAGUCUGCAACUCGACUCCAUGAAGUCGGAAUCGCUAGUAAUCGUGGAUCAGAAUGCCACGGUGAAUACGUUCCCGGGCCUUGUACACACCGCCCGUCACACCAUGGGAGUGGGUUGCAAAAGAAGUAGGUAGCUUAACCUUCGGGAGGGCGCUUACCACUUUGUGAUUCAUGACUGGGGUGAAGUCGUAACAAGGUAACCGUAGGGGAACCUGCGGUUGGAUCACCUCCUUACCUUAAAGAAGC